rnacentral:rRNA from 1 species
GACGAACGCUGGCGGCGUGCUUAACACAUGCAAGUCGAACGGAAAGGCCCUGCUUUUGUGGGGUGCUCGAGUGGCGAACGGGUGAGUAACACGUGAGUAACCUGCCCUUGACUUUGGGAUAACUUCAGGAAACUGGGGCUAAUACCGGAUAGGAGCUCCUGCUGCAUGGUGGGGGUUGGAAAGUUUCGGCGGUGGGGGCUGGACUCGCGGGUUAUCAGCUUGUUGGUGGGGUAGUGGCUUACCAAGGCUUUGACGGGUAGCCGGCCUGAGAGGGUGACCGGCCACAUUGGGACUGAGAGACGGCCCAGACGCCUACGGGAGGCAGCAGUGGGGAAUAUUGCACAAUGGGCGGAAGCCUGAUGCAGCAACGCCGCGUGCGGGAUGACGGCCUUCGGGUUGUAAACCGCUUUCGCCUGUGACGAAGCGUGAGUGACGGUAAUGGGUAAAGAAGCACCGGCUAACUACGUG